ACGAACGCUGGCGGCGUGCUUAACACAUGCAAGUCGAACGGAAAGGCCCUGCUUUUGUGGGGUGCUCGAGUGGCGAACGGGUGAGUAACACGUGAGUAACCUGCCCUUGACUUUGGGAUAACUUCAGGAAACUGGGGCUAAUACCGGAUAGGAGCUCCUGCUGCAUGGUGGGGGUUGGAAAGUUUCGGCGGUUGGGGAUGGACUCGCGGCUUAUCAGCUUGUUGGUGGGGUAGUGGCUUACCAAGGCUUUGACGGGUAGCCGGCCUGAGAGGGUGACCGGCCACAUUGGGGCUGAGAUACGGCCCAGACUCCUACGGGAGGCAGCAGUGGGGAAUAUUGCACAAUGGGCGGAAGCCUGAUGCAGCAACGCCGCGUGCGGGAUGACGGCCUUCGGGUUGUAAACCGCUUUCGCCUGUGACGAAGCGUGAGUGACGGUAAUGGGUAAAGAAGCACCGGCUAACUACGU
rnacentral:rRNA from 1 species